UACGAAGGGGGCUAGCGUUGCUCGGAAUCACUGGGCGUAAAGCGCACGUAGGCGGCUUUCUAAGUCAGGGGUGAAAUCCUGGAGCUCAACUCCAGAACUGCCUUUGAUACUGAGAAGCUUGAGUUCGGGAGAGGUGAGUGGAACUGCGAGUGUAGAGGUGAAAUUCGUAGAUAUUCGCAAGAACACCAGUGGCGAAGGCGGCUCACUGGCCCGAUACUGACGCUGAGGUGCGAAAGCGUGGGGAGCAAACAGG
rnacentral:rRNA from 1 species